rnacentral:rRNA from 1 species
UACGUAGGGGGCAAGCGUUAUCCGGAUUUACUGGGUGUAAAGGGAGCGUAGACGGCAUGGCAAGUCAGAUGUGAAAGCCCGGGGCUCAACCCCGGGACUGCAUUUGAAACUGUCAGGCUGGAGUGCAGGAGAGGUAAGCGGAAUUCCUAGUGUAGCGGUGAAAUGCGUAGAUAUUAGGAGGAACACCAGUGGCGAAGGCGGCUCACUGGACUGUAACUGACGUUGAGGCUCGAAAGCGUGGGGAGCAAACAGG